GUCAAGAUCACCGAGCGGUCUAAGGCGCCAGAUUUAAGCUCUGGUUCUCGAAAAUAUCGUGGGUUAGAACCCCCACUCUCCUGACA